rnacentral:rRNA from 1 species
AGAGUUUGAUCAUGGCUCAGGACGAACGCUGGCGGCGUGCUUAACACAUGCAAGUCGAGCGGAAAGGCCCACUUGUGGGUACUCGAGCGGCGAACGGGUGAGUAACACGUGAGUAAUCUGCCCUUCACUUGGGGAUAACGUCCAGAAAUGGGUGCUAAUACCCGGUACUCCCAUGCGGAUGCAUGUUUGUGUGGGGAAAGGUUUUUCUGGUGGGGGAUGUGCUCGCGGCCUAUCAGCUUGUUGGUGGGGUAAUGGCCUACCAAGGCUUUGACGGGUAGCCGGCCUGAGAGGGUGACCGGCCACACUGGGACUGAGACACGGCCCAGACUCCUACGGGAGGCAGCAGUGGGGAAUAUUGGACAAUGGGCGGAAGCCUGAUCCAGCAACGCCGCGUGAGGGAUGACGGCCUUCGGGUUGUAAACCUCUUUCACCAUUGACGAAGCUGCAUCUUUUUGGGUGUGGUGACGGUAGGUGGGGAAGAAGCACCGGCCAACUACGUGCCAGCAGCCGCGGUAAUACGUAGGGUGCGAGCGUUGUCCGGAAUUAUUGGGCGUAAAGGGCUCGUAGGCGGUUUGUCGCGUCGGGAGUGAAAACCUCGGGCUUAACUCGGGGCUUGCUUUCGAUACGGGCAGACUAGAGGUAUGCAGGGGAGAACGGAAUUCCUGGUGUAGCGGUGAAAUGCGCAGAUAUCAGGAGGAACACCGGUGGCGAAGGCGGUUCUCUGGGCAUGAUCUGACGCUGAGGAGCGAAAGUGUGGGGAGCGAACAGGAUUAGAUACCCUAGUAGUCC